AUGUUAUUUCCUUCACUAUUUCCAUACUUUCACACCAUUACCGCUGCUACCUCUAUAAACGCCAUCGCAGCCUUCUACAGCCCGGAAAAAAAAAAUGGGUUGCAGAAACAGAGACUUCACAGACGACGAGACUGUCUCUUCGUCCUCUCUUCUUCGCUGAGCGAGGCCUUGCUCUUUGCCACCAUGUGCAUCAUUGGCCUCCCAGUUGAUGUCCACGUCAAGGACGGUUCUGUGUAUUCUGGAAUCUUCUACACUGCCUCUGUGGAGACUGAGUACGGUAUUGUUUUGAAGAAAGCAAGGAUGACCAAAAAGGGGAAGAGUGAUGCUAAUGUAGGAAAUGGGGCACUGAUCGAGACUCUUGUGAUUCGCUCCAGUGACCUUGUCCAAGUUGUUGCUAUGGGAGUUUUGCUUCCAGCUGAUGGUGUUACUGGAAAUAUAGCUGGCGACGAAACUGAAGCUGUUAUGGAUACUGUUUCUUCUGAUGUGUGCUCAAAGAAUGAUGUAAAGAAGCCAAUUGAUUCUGCCACAAAUAAGAAGAAAAUGGACGGUUUUAGGGGCCCAAUGCAAAAUGGAAAUGGCCUUGCUCAUGGUGUUGCCCCAAAGAGAGCUGUAAAGGAGCAUGAAGGGAGGAAAUUUCCUCUGAAACAUGCGAUAAAUGCCCUGGAAGUUAAAAAUGGAAAAAUUGACAGGAUAAACUUAUCAGAGAUUAAAGAAGCCCCUAGCGCCCAGUUAAUGGGAGGUAUGGGUUCUAUUCUUAUUUCUGUUAAUAUUAUUUCAUACUUGGGGAGUGACACUUUGGGUGCUAAAGCUCUCUGCCUUGACACUGGCUCCGGUCAAUUUUUUGGCAGACAGGUUGAAAAUGAUGGGUCCUCAGGGAAACAGGAUGAUUUCAAACAGAAACUAGAGUUUUAUAGGGAAGAAAGUGCUGAUAAAGUUCAUGAUACAAAGAUCCCAUCCAAGUUAUUACCUCACGAAGUAUCUCAUGAUCCUGCUACUGUAAUUGUUAAUACAGAAAAUCAAUGUUGUGAAAGGACAACUUCAGCAGACAUUUCAUCUGGUGUUGUUUCUUCAAGUGUCUCAACUUCGUUGAAUCCGCCCGUGGAUGUUUCAUAUCACCAACUGGUGGCAACAUCAACUGAAAUGGCCCCUCCUCAGGGUUCAGAAUUUACUAGAAGUACCAAGGAAUUUAAGCUCAACCCAGGAGCAAAAACAUUCUCACCAUCGUUUACGAAGGCCACGACAUCAACCCCUCCCCCAUUGCCAACAGUGGGAAGCAUGGGUUAUGUACCAAACAACUCCCCCAUGGUACCUGUUGCUGCUGCUCAGCCAGGAGUUGGAUCAAAUCCUUUUGCAUCUCGUACCUCUCUACCUGUUAAGGUGGUCCCCAUUAAUAAUUUCACAAAUGGAAAUGGUGGCAGUGGCUCUCAAUUUUCACAACCUAUUGUUGGACACGUGGGGAGCAGGGCACAGACGCUUAGGUACGCUGGUCAGUAUCCUGUUCAGGCUGCACCUCCCUAUGUUCAUCCCAAUUCUCAAGCUGUUAUGGUUGGACGAUUCGGGCAGCUUGUAUACGUGCAUCCAGUUUCUCAAGAUUUGGUGCAGGGUGCAACGGCUAUCUCACCGCUGUCUGCUCGUCCUAUGUUGACUCCACAUCAGGUCCAGUUUCCCAAGCACCAAGGGACUGCACCAAACCAAGCUUUUCAGCUCUGUGUUCCUCCACCGUUCAUGGCUACAGGACAGCAGCCUUUCCCCAAUGCCAAGUCGCAUCCCAUUUUUGCGACCUCCCUUCCCUUCUAAUCGUCUCAUUGAAGUCCCAGGAUCUAAUGAUCUCGUUUGCCCCAACCCCAUAUUUUGGUGAAAAUGUUUCUUCGAUUGAUCACCUCCGCCAGGGUCCUUUUUCCCAUAUUUAUAUUAUAGAUUUUGAAAAUUUUGGCCUUAAAUUCUUUCAACCUGCAUUCAUUCAUUGUGUUAUUUUCUAUACCUUAAAGUUGAGAGAACUUUUGCAAAAGGGUUUGCUAAAGGGAGUGAAGCUUACAUUGUUUUUUUUUUUUUCGAAAUGUAGUGAACUUUUCUUGCACGAAAAGGGAGGGGGGUUCGUGGUUUUUGCUUCCAUUUGAACAAUGUUGGACAAUAGAGUGACUUGUAAAUUAUUCAAACAACGAAUGUUUGUAUUUGUUCGUUUGAUUUUGAAAUUUCACAUCCCUCUGCUGA